UACGUAGGGGGCUAGCGUUGUCCGGAAUCAUUGGGCGUAAAGCGCGUGUAGGCGGUCCGGUAAGUCCGCUGUGAAAGUCGGGGGCUCAACCCUCGGAUGCCGGUGGAUACUGUCGGGCUUGAGUACGGAAGAGGCGAGGGGAAUUCCUGGUGUAGCGGUGAAAUGCGCAGAUAUCAGGAAGAACACCCGUGGCGAAGGCGGUUCUCUGGGACGGUACUGACGCUGAGACGCGAAAGCGUGGGGGGCGAACAGG
rnacentral:rRNA from 1 species